UAUGUCGAUAUUGCAAGGGAAAGCUGUGCCAAGGAACCCGUUGACAGAAUCGGAACAUUUCCGCAAACCUUUUCUGGUCAGAAACUUACCCUUAAUGAUAAGGGAAGUGUGUCCGAGGCAGAAACAAACAAUUGAAGGUAAAUUGAUGGCCCUGCGGAUAAAGUUUGCUAAAGUUCACAUUCCCAAAGAAAGACCAAAGAAGAAAAGAAACUCCGCUUCCUCUGGAUCUUGAAUUUUCUCCCGAGAUUGGUGUACUAAGUAACAGUUAGCCUCGUUCUCUCCGACAAGAUCUCUCUCUAGCACGUGACAAGUUCGCACGUGACAAGUUAGCACGUGACAAGUUCACACGUGACAAGUUCGCACGUGACAAGUUCACACGUGACAAAUCACAGGAUAUUAACAGACUUGAUUCAGCAAGGGCUCUAAGAGUCCCGAACUAUCCGAUUUCUUCGAGAGUAUAAAAAGUUGUUUGUAAUUUAUUGAUUUUUAAAACGAAGGUGACUUGAUGUUAUACUGCAGCUGAAGGAAGUGUGUUUUGAUAAUUAUGUUUUUAAUAUAAUUAUGUAUGUGGGUUAAUUCUCUUGUCAUCUGAAGAUUGGUAUGGAAUGUUGGAUUUAUAGUCUGGGUGUAAGGUUAUUAAAGUAAUUAUGUUUAUUAAGUCAAUUAAGAUUAUUAGAGUGUGAGUCUAUAUUAUUCGAGUAAAAUCUAAUCUUUGUUCUUUGAAUAAUGAUCUUAAUAAAAAAGAGAACUAACGCCUCUUGAAUCCCUUUUACCAUGGAUGCAGUAAGGUUCUACUGCCGUAGUACAUACAUAUAACUAUAACGCUAUGACAAUUGUCUAACAUUGACUAGUUUAAUGAGGCUGAAGAUUGUUUUAGAAUUACUGCAGAUGUUAGACUUGACAGUGUUUAGGUUUGUUAGUUGUUGAGA